UAGAAAAAUUGUAAGUCGUUGGCAGUUCAAGUAUGGACAACAGUUGAAGGGUGGCAAAACCCACUGGCAUCUCACCUCUUAUAGCCAAGGGGGCAGCUGCAACAUGCAGCUAUCUCUUAUAUCCUAGGGGUACCAAACCUUCAUGCAAAGCCGAUUUUCCUCUCCCGACCCAACUGUAGGGAGGGGACCCACUCAUCGAGCCGGGAAAGGAUGACCUUCCCCUG
rnacentral:misc_RNA from 1 species